rnacentral:rRNA from 1 species
CCUAAUACAUGCAAGUAGAACGCUGAAGCUUGGUGCUUGCACCGAGCGGAUGAGUUGCGAACGGGUGAGUAACGCGUAGGUAACCUGCCUCUUAGCGGGGGAUAACUAUUGGAAACGAUAGCUAAUACCGCAUAAAAGUCGACAUUGCAUGAUGUUGACUUGAAAGGUGCAAUUGCAUCACUAAGAGAUGGACCUGCGUUGUAUUAGCUAGUUGGUGAGGUAACGGCUCACCAAGGCAACGAUACAUAGCCGACCUGAGAGGGUGAUCGGCCACACUGGGACUGAGACACGGCCCAGACUCCUACGGGAGGCAGCAGUAGGGAAUCUUCGGCAAUGGGGGCAACCCUGACCGAGCAACGCCGCGUGAGUGAAGAAGGUUUUCGGAUCGUAAAGCUCUGUUGUAAGAGAAGAACGAGUGUGAGAGUGGAAAGUUCACACUGUGACGGUAACUUACCAGAAAGGGACGGCUAACUACGUGCCAGCAGCCGCGGUAAUACGUAGGUCCCGAGCGUUAUCCGGAUUUAUUGGGCGUAAAGCGAGCGCAGGCGGUUAGAUAAGUCUGAAGUUAAAGGCUGUGGCUUAACCAUAGUACGCUUUGGAAACUGUUUAACUUGAGUGCAGAAGGGGAGAGUGGAAUUCCAUGUGUAGCGGUGAAAUGCGUAGAUAUAUGGAGGAACACCGGUGGCGAAAGCGGCUCUCUGGUCUGUAACUGACGCUGAGGCUCGAAAGCGUGGGGAGCGAACAGG